GACGAACGCUGGCGGCGUGCUUAACACAUGCCAGUCGAACGGUGAAGCGAUUGCUUGCACUCGUGGAUCAGUGGCGAACGGGUGAGUAACACGUGAGUAACCUGCCCAUCACUCUGGGAUAAGCACUGGAAACGGUGUCUAAUACUGGAUACGACCAACCCUUGCAUGGGGUGUUGGUGGACAGAUUUAUCGGUGAUGGAUGGACUCGCGGCCUAUCAGCGUGUUGGCGGGGUAAUGGCCCACCAAGGCGACGACGGGUAGCCGGCCUGAGAGGGUGACCGGCCACACUGGGACUGAGACAGGGCCCAGACUGCAACGGGAGGCAGCAGUGGGGAAUAUUGCACAAUGGGCGAAAGCCUGAUGCAGCGACGCCGCGGGAGGGAUGACGGCCUUCGGGUUGUAAACCGCUGUCAGCAGGGAAGAAGCGAAAGUGACGGUACCUGCAGAAGAAGCACCGGCUAACUACGUG
rnacentral:rRNA from 1 species